UUCGGUUCGGAAUAACUCAGGGAAACUUGAGCUAAUACCGGAUACGACCUUACGGGGAAAGAUUUAUCGCCGAAGGAACGGCCCGCGCCCGAUUAGCUUGUUGGUGAGGUAAUGGCUCACCAAGGCGACGAUCGGUAGCUGGUCUAAGAGGAUGAUCAGCCUCACUGGGACUGAGACACGGCCCAGAACUCCUACGGGAGGCAGCAGUGGGGAAUAUUGGACAUUGGGCGCAAGCCUGAUCCAGCCAUGCCGCGUGAGUGAUGAAGGCCCUAGGGUUGUAAAGCUCUUUCAGCGGGAAAGAUAAUGACGGUACCCGCAGAAGAAGCCCCGGCUAACUAGUGCCAGCAGCCGCGGUAAUACGAAGGGGGCUAGCGUUGCUCGGAAUUACUGGGCGUAAAGCGCACGUAGGCGGCUUUCUAAGUCGGGGGUGAAAUCCUGGAGCUCAACUCCAGAACCGCCUUCGAUACUCGGAAGCUCGAGUCCGGGAGAGGUGAGUGGAACUGCGAGUGUAGAGGUGAAUUCGUAGAUAUACGCAAGAACACCAGUGGCGAAGGCGGCUCA
rnacentral:rRNA from 1 species